ACCGGUCGCGGGGCACCCCAGAAACGUGGCAGGGUGGCAUUGCCCCACGAACGCCUGAAGCCCGCCCGACUCGCGUGGGCAUCUUUUCGAGGCGGCUGAAUGCCGAGAACGGUGCGGAGGUGGCAGUGGAGGACGGGAAAAGUGUCCGUGGAUGACAGUCAUUUCCAGGUGGCUUGGGGACCCCAUGGCCGAGGAUCAGUACCUGAGUGCCUGUCACCUCAGCUCCAGCCUCUUGGUCCUCAGCCGCCCGCAGAAACCACCAUUGGAUUUCAAGGUACACCGAAGAGGAACCACUUUGGAAAGCACAAGACAUCUCCACGUUCUGCCCUUCAGUGGCAGUGACAUUUCGGGGAAACUCAGUGAAUUUUGCUGCAAAACAAAUGCAUAACAUGUUGGGAUCUCCUGUUACCUACUCAUUGUAUAUUAUCUGUUUUUUCUUCUUUCUCUCUCUCAUUUUUCUUUUUAAAUAAAUUAUCUGUUUUCUCAUUCUCCCUCUUUUCUGAUUUUCAAGUUUUCCUACACAUUAUCUCCUCCAGUUUCUCUCAUACCCAGGCAUGCCUUUCUUGCUUUAUGCACAAAUCCACCUUCUUCACACUCUAAACUCAUGGGAGAUGCGACGGACACCCCCCCCACACUCCGUGCUCCCAUGGGCUAGGAAAGUUUCACUUAAUUAGGUCCAAAUACCCUUGGGCAGAAUGCAGUAUUUCACUAGACUCACUGAGGGAUUUUGUGCAAAACCAAUUUGGAAGAGGAAAAAAAUAGACCAAUUUAUUGUAUUUUGUAGGGCUGAGCUGCAGAUGUGCAAGUUGUUAAACCUUCCACAGCUGGCUGGAGCAGCUGUUGGAACAGACAGUUUCUUGAGGUGUGGGUUAUGACCACUCAUCAAAAUGCUUAUUACAACUGCUUUACCUGAGCUAGUUACUUUCUUUGAGAACCUCUACUUGCAUAAUCUGAGCAAGAAUAAAUACAUCUUCUGUUUAGCAGUCCUGACAGACACUUUCUUGAAGUAACCUUUACCUUUAUAUCUCAGUCAUUUAACAAAUGGGAUCUACCCAUUUAAGCAUACCACUGCUAGGUUUAAAAUCUAAUCCUGAUGGACCUAGUCCAGGACACAAGUCUUUUUAAAGGUCUCAGUCUUUACUUUCUUCUCAUCCUCUCCUAUAACUUACUUUAAAAUUGUGCAACAUAAUGAACCAUGAUAGUCAAGUAGAGGGGGCUACAGAUAAUAAGUAAAACCCGUGUUUCAAGAAGAGGAAAAUUUUGAAAUACACUGCAAUGUUAUUUUCUGUUAUGAAUUGUUACAGAUUGACUAAACCACAUUAUGAUGUGAAAGAAAA